rnacentral:rRNA from 1 species
UACGGAGGAUGCGAGCGUUAUCCGGAUUUAUUGGGUUUAAAGGGUGCGUAGGCGGGAUGCCAAGUCAGCGGUAAAAAUGCGGUGCUCAACGCCGUCGAGCCGUUGAAACUGGCGUUCUUGAGUGGGCGAGAAGUAUGCGGAAUGCGUGGUGUAGCGGUGAAAUGCAUAGAUAUCACGCAGAACUCCGAUUGCGAAGGCAGCAUGCCGGCUUCCGACUGACGCUGAAGCACGAAAGCGUGGGGAUCGAACAGG